AAUUGAAUCCAAGCCACAGCUGUGACCUACACUGCAGCUGCAGCAAUGCCAGAUCCUUGUAGCCCACUGCACCACAGUGAGGAACUCCUCAUGGAACUUUUUAUUUUGAGAAGAUUAUAAGAUUCACAUCCAGUUAUAAGAACUGAUAGAGGGAGUUCCCGUCGUGGCGCAUAAUGAACCCAACUAGUAUCCAUGAGGAUGUAGGUUCAGUCACCUGGCCUCGCUUAGUGGGUUAAGGAUCUGGUAUUGCCACAAGAUCCCAUGUUGCUGUGGCUGAGGUGUAGGCUGGCAGCUUCAGCUCUGAUUUGACCCCUAGUCUGGGAAUUUCCAUAUGCUGUGGGUGUGGUCCUAAAAAGACAAAAACAAAAAACAAAAAAACAAUAGGGAGGAGAUCCCUUUCUCCCAAUGGUAGUAUCUUAUAAAACGAUAAAUGAUACAAUAUCACACCCAAGAAACUGACACUGAUCCUUGUACACAUUUGUUUGUUUGCAUUUUUGGCCCUGGUGUGCACUGGCUUGAUGUGGGAUCUUAGUUCCUAGACCUGGGAUUUAACUUGGGUCACAGUGCUAAAAGCACUGAGUCUUAAGCACUAGACCACCAGAGAACUCUCAGGUUUUUUUUUAAGUCAGAGGAGUAUUUCAUACUUAAUAGUAAAAGCAGGUUUUCUUUUUUUUUUUUUAACUUUUUAGGGCCGCACUCGCAGCAUAUGGAGGUUCCCAGGUGAGGGGUCGAAUUGGAGUUGUAGCUGCCAACCUACACCACAGCCACAGCAAUGCCAGAUCCCAGCCACAUCUGCGACCUACACCACAGCUCUCGGCAACGCCAGAUCCUUCACCCACUGAGUGAGCCCAGGGAUCGAACCCUCGUCCUCUUGGAUACUAGUCGGGUUCAUUACCACUGAGCCACGACGGGAACUCCCAGCCAGUAAAAGUGAUCUUCAGAAGAUACAGAAAAAUAUUAAAAAUAGAGAUCCAAAUAAAUAAAAUACAUAGAUGAAUAAAAGUCCCUUUCCUCCAACCCCUGGCCUCAUUCCCUAGAGGAAACCACUGCUAAAAACAAACCAACCAGGACUGGCGCUUCUGUUUUCAUGUUUCUCGACGGCAUGGGUAUAUAUAGCCUGCAGUGGCUCGAUCGGAGCAGCACUGCAAACAUCAGAUAAAAUCUCUUGUGUUGUUUAGGCCCCAGGAAACAGGAAAUAAGCACUCUUGGAGCAUUUCAUUAUAAGAAUGAAUUAAUGCAUUUUUAUUUCAGUGGCACCCUCUGUGGGGGGACCUUGUCUCUGGCCGUAGAGGAAGCUAUCAUGUUUCCUGAGGGGAAGUUGCAUCUAAUUUCAAACCGUAGGACUGGCUUUGCAUUAGUGAAUUAAAGCAAGGUGGUGAGCUCUCAGGGUGUACAAGGAUCAGCUUGAGGCCCAAGGAGCUCUGUUCCCAAGGUACUAAAUCUUGGCCUCUCCCCUGAAAAUUUAUGUGAAUGGUCAUCAGUGAAGACACAUUUAAUGAGCAUGUGCCUGUCU
rnacentral:lncRNA from 1 species